UACGUAGGGGGCUAGCGUUGUCCGGAAUCAUUGGGCGUAAAGCGCGUGUAGGCGGUCCGGUAAGUCCGCUGUGAAAGUCGGGGGCUCAACCCUCGGAUGCCGGUGGAUACUGUCGGGCUUGAGUACGGAAGAGGCGAGUGGAAUUCCUGGUGUAGCGGUGAAAUGCGCAGAUAUCAGGAGGUACACCAAUUGCGAAGGCAGCUCGCUGGGACGUCACUGACGCUGAGACGCGAAAGCGUGGGGAGCAAACAGG
rnacentral:rRNA from 1 species